rnacentral:rRNA from 1 species
GUUUGAUCCUGGCUCAGAACGAACGCUGGCGGCAGGCCUAACACAUGCAAGUCGAGCGCUCUUCUUCGGAAGGGAGCGGCGGACGGGUUAGUAACGCGUGGGAAUAUACCCAGUUCUAUGGAAUAGCCUCGGGAAACUGAGAGUAAUACCAUAUACGCCCUUCGGGGGAAAGAUUUAUCGGUGAAGGAUUGGCCCGCGUUAGAUUAGAUAGUUGGUGGGGUAAUGGCCUACCAAGUCUACGAUCUAUAGCUGGUUUGAGAGGAUGAUCAGCAACACUGGGACUGAGACACGGCCCAGACUCCUACGGGAGGCAGCAGUGGGGAAUCUUAGACAAUGGGCGCAAGCCUGAUCUAGCGAUGCCGCGUGAGUGACGAAGGCCUUAGGGUCGUAAAGCUCUUUCGCCAGGGAUGAUAAUGACAGUACCUGGUAAAGAAACCCCGGCUAACUCCGUGCCAGCAGCCGCGGUAAUAAGG